GGCAUGAUAAGACGCGACAAGCGUCGCAUCAGGCAUUAUGCGCCGACUGCCGGAUGCGGCGUGAACGCCUUAUCCGGCC
rnacentral:ncRNA from 1 species